UUUUUUCUCAUUCAAAUUCUUAAUGAUUUUAAACAUAUGUUAGCAUUUUCCGAAUAGAUAUGAUCUUAGUAGAUUAUAUAUGAUUAUUACAAGGAAUGUUAUCAUUGUAUUUAAAAAAAAAUCUGGAAUUUGAAGUACUUAAAUAUACGUACAAUUUAAAUGCACCCGAGAAGCUUUUAAUUAUAUUCAAAUAUUACCGUUAAUAAAGGUUAAAAGUUAUAGUUUAAAAUAGCCGUUGAAAAUAAUAAAACUAAACCAACACUCUCAACUAUUUCUACACUCUCUCCUCUUCUUCCAUUUCAUGCAUUGGUUUCAGAAAAAAGCUCUCACCUUUCUUUCCUUUUCUUUAAUAAUAUAAUGCUUUCUCUAUUCAACCUUUCCAAAACAAUCACUUAUUCAUUCACUUUCAUUCCAUUGUCAUAAAAUCAUUUGCAAAAUCAAUUUUUUUAUUCUCCUUCACAUUCCUCAAUACCAUUGAAUAUAGAAUUGUUAAGGAGUAACACUUACUCAAGUUUCCAAGAAUAUCCUAACCUUAGGACUAUGGUUGUCAAAAUAAACACAAGAUGUGAUGUGAGGCUCUUCUUAUUUCUAUAAUCUUAAGUAUAUAUGGUUUAUAAUGCCCUUCUUUGCUCACAGUCAUGAAAGAUUGCAUUUUUUAUAUGUGUUUGUGAAAAGUUUCAUUCUUUCCCUUUAGGAAUAUGUAAUUUCAGUUACGUAAUAAAUUACUCUUCGAUUGACAUAAUAAUUUUGCUCUAUCAUCAAUGAUAGGAAUGUUAUAUUCAAUAUAGUAAUCUAAUUUGUUACAUGAAAUCUGGUGCAUCAGUGCAGCAUCAAGAGACUCACAAAAGGUAUACUCUGUUUGAUAAUGAAUUAUAUUAAGGCAACCUAAUUUUUUUGAGCACCUUUUUCUUUUCACAACUAAUCUCUCUUAUUUUUUCUAUAUUAAGGUUCUAUAUGUAAUGUGCCCACUUGUCCAAAAUCUAUUUUUUUU